rnacentral:sRNA from 1 species
CCCAGCCGCCGCGUAAGGACCAGCAGCCGGGCCCGGCCGGCGGCGGAGGAGACUUCCCAAGUAAGAAGCGGAAGAGGAGCCGCUGGAACCAAGACACAAUGGAACAGAAGACGGUGAUUCCAGGAAUGCCUACAGUUAUUCCCCCUGGACUUACUCGAGAACAAGAAAGAGCUUAUAUAGGUAAAUAUACGUUCUGCAUCCAAAUGCAUUUUGAGAUUGUUACGAUUUAUUCUGAGCAAGAUCUGCAUUUCUUGAAAGUUUGAGAUUGUAGUUUUUUUUUUUUGAGAUGAGAUACUUUCACGACUGGUAUCAUCUGUCAGUUUUUGCCCAGUGAGUUCUGCAUUUGCAACUCCUUGUUUUGGUCUGUUCAUAACUGCAGUGUUCUCCAUGAGUAUCAGGAAGGUAGGGUUUCACUUAGGAGUAAGAACAGUCCCCAGUACAGCAGCCACCCUUUUCAGCUGCUGUUCAUUGCCAGUUGAUGAGGUGAGUGUCAUCUGCCUCUCUGGACAGGCCCCAGUGGAGAACACCGCAGGUACUGUAAACCAAGUACUUUUCACAGCAUGGCCUUUCACCGUAAUUUCAUAUUUCUCCCCCUAAAAUGUGGUCUUUUACUUUUUAUAGGUACUUUCUG